GAGAGCCGUAUACGUGGAAACAUGUACGUACGGUUCGGGGGCAGAUGGGCGAAGACCCACCGCCGUAAGGCGGAAAUGGGCGUUGCCUUUUCGAGCCUAC
rfam:Prevotella multisaccharivorax DSM 17128 genomic scaffold scaffold_3, whole genome shotgun sequence.